rnacentral:rRNA from 1 species
GCGUUGAGAUUAGCUAGUUGGUGGGGUAAAGGCUCACCAAGCGACGAUCUCUAGCUGGUCUGAGAGGAUGAUCAGCCACACUGGGACUGAGACACGGCCCAGACUCCUACGGGAGGCAGCAGUGGGGAAUAUUGGACAAUGGGCGGAACCCUGAUCCAGCCAUGCCGCGUGUGUGAAGAAGGCCUUAGGGUUGUAAAGCACUUUCAGGAGUGAGGAAGGGUGAUUGGUUAAUACCCAAUUAUUUUGACGUUAACUCCAGAAGAAGCACCGGCUAACUCUGUGCCAGCAGCCGCGGUAAUACAGAGGGUGCGAGCGUUAAUCGGAAUUACUGGGCGUAAAGCGCGCGUAGGUGGUUUGUUAAGUCGGAUGUGAAAUCCCAGGGCUCAACCUUGGAAUUGCACCCGAUACUGGCAGGCUAGAGUACGGUAGAGGGGUGUGGAAUUUCC